CCUACGGGGGGCAGCAGUGGGGAAUAUUGCACAAUGGGGGAAACCCUGAUGCAGCGACGCCGCGUGAAGGAAGAAGUAUUUCGGUAUGUAAACUUCUAUCAGCAGGGAAGAAAAUGACGGUACCUGACUAAGAAGCCCCGGCUAACUACGUGCCAGCAGCCGCGGUCAUACGUAGGGGGCAAGCGUUAUCCGGAUUUACUGGGUGUAAAGGGAGCGUAGGCGGAGCAGCAAGUCAGAGGUGAAAGCCCGGGGCUCAACACCGGGACUGCUUUUGAAACUGUUGAACUCGAGUGCAGGAGAGGUAAGUGGAAUUCCUAGUGUAGCAGUGAAAUGCGUAGAUAUUAGGAGGAACACCAGUGGCGAAGGCGGCUUGCUGGACUGUAAAUGACGCUGAGGCUCGAAAGCGUGGGGAGCAAACAGGAUUAGAUACCCGAGUAGUC
rnacentral:rRNA from 1 species